AUUCUAACAAGCACACCAGGUGUCUGAUGCCAUUCUCCACCAGGAACUUGUAAUGCUGAGGUUCUGAGGGACAGGCCAGACCGGCGAGUUUGUGAGGUUCGACCCACGAGAAGUUCGGCGGAGCGACGAGAGACAUGACGAGAUGUUCGAGAAGCAGAAAAAGAAAGAAGAUAUCUGGACGGGGGAGAGGAGUAGUUGGACCAGGAAUGUCUGGUUUGGUUCAGCUACAACAGACAGCGAAGACCCAACCUCCAAGAUCUGUACACCUCCGGAGUAUUGAAGAGGGCUAAGAAAAUCACUUUAGACCCCAAACACCCAGCCCACUCUCUCUCCGUACUGUUGCCUUCUGGUCAGUGCUACAGACCAUCAUUUUCUGUUCUAAUUCCUGUGUAUGUCUGUACUGUCUGUAUGUUUGCACUAUGUCCAUACUUUCUUCUGCACUGGAAGCUCCUGUCGUCAAGUCAAAGUCCUCGUGUGUGGAAACAUACUUGGUAAUAAAGAUCUUUCUGACUUUCUGACAAGGGAGUAGGAGAGAUAAAAAGGUACAAAAGGCAAA